UGAACUAGAGGCAGAAAGGCAGAAAGCACAUGUAACAAAAACUAAGGGAAAAGGUGGAUUCCGAAUGGGCCCUGAAAACUGGCACAGAAGGCGACAGAUAGACAUAAAGAAAUCUGGGCCCCCGUGGCAUCUGUCCCCUCCUGUUCCUCCAGCUGGCCUCCUUGCCACGCGCACCCCCUCCCCGGAGCCCGGCCCCUCUGCUCGCUGCUCCCCGCCCAGGCCCACGAGCGGGCACAGAGGGCGCAGGCGAGGCUGGAGUGGAGAUGAAGCCAGAGACUGGCAGGAGCGGCGUGAUUGACAGUGCUCGCGUGCCCCUGAACUGAACGUCAAAGUUCUCCUGCGGGGUUGGCAGCCCCGUCUCGAAAGCUGCUUCGUAGCCGAGGCAGCAUAUGGCCUGCUGACAGAGCAGCUGCUGGGGAAGAAGACGCCGAAAGGAAGCCUCGAGGGAUAAACACGAGGAGUGCGCGUGGCCACGCGCACCAGUGCUCCAGCGCAGCGGCAGCUCCCCCCCCUCAGCAGGUGAGGAAAGUGUUUUGGGGAUGCUUUGGUCGAGCUUCCGUUCCAGACCUCGUCGUCGUCGUCAUCAUCAUCGUCGUCAUCCUGGUAAUAAUAACUGACAUUUGUUGAGCACUUACUAUAUUCCAGCUGGCUCUGCAAGCUACUUUAGGUGCAUCCUUUCACCUACUGUAUUCCUUCAACAGCUCUCAGAGGAGAAAUUGUUCUUGUUCCCAUUUUGUAGAUGAAAAAACGAAGCUCAAGAGAGCUAAAGGAUUUCACCAAACAGGCAAGCGCUCCAGGUCUAACUCCAAAGACUUCAAUCUAAAUUAUCCUAGUGGUUUCUAGCUGCAAGCAUUUUGGAUGUCAGACCGGCAUACAAGUGCGGUGACUGAGACACAGGGGCCGUCAUUUACAGAGCAACAAGACAUUCAUUCUCUCCUGUAAGCUCCAGAGACUUGGGGCAGGUUACAGUCACCUCUGUAUGCUCAGGAGGGGAGUGUGACGCAGUGAGUGUCAUGGGCAAUACAUGAAAAAUUGACCAGUCUCGAGGGAGCUGCACUUAAAUCCAUUUUGUAGGGUGACCAAACGUGAGCACAGCAUUUGAAGAUGGUAAAGUGUUAAAUAAAUACCGCUGUGCUUUGCUGCUAUGUCCAAGAAAGAUCCUCAUUUAAGGAGCCUGGAAGGCAGUGUGCCCAGUGGUCAGAGCAAAGACCUGCAGCUGGAUAGACUUGGUCUCACAUCUUGACACUGCUAUUUACCAGUUGGGUAACUCUGGGCAGACUGUAAGUCUCUUUGCUCCUUGGUUUGAUUGUUACUACUGUUUACUCUAUAAAAUGGAGGAUAAUAGCACCCA